UUUUCUUCACUGGGUGCUGGGGGGUGAAGUCCUUACAAUAUCUUGAGAAAAAGAAUUGUCUGAGACUCACACGGAGAACGAGUGAUUUUUAUUUGGAUGGAAUUACAUCUUUGUGUUUCCAAAGUCCCAUUUCCCCUUGUCUAGUCACAGAAGAAGUAUGUAAAAGCAAAGCAAGUG